GGUGGUUGUAGCUCAGUUGGUUAGAGCGCUGGAUUGUGGUUCCAGAGGUCGCCGGUUCGAACCCGGUCUUCCACCC
rnacentral:tRNA from 16 species